UUCUUGGUUCGGUGGUGAGUAAUUAGCUGUAAUCGCGUUUCUCGUUCAAUUACUCAUUGUUUCGCGAAUUAAUUGUUAUUUCGAGCUGUACGACGAAGUCAAUUCUUCUCAUAUUAUCAUGUUCGGUAAGUAAAGUUGAUUGUGAGUUUGUGACUUGUGAAGUUGUGAGUGAAACACUUUGAUUAUAGUUUGAUUUGAAGAGGUUCAAAUCAGAGUGUUUCUGUUUAAUCUUUUGUAGACAGAAUCGGCUGCUGUCCACGAUGGACAAUCAGUUUCCAAUUUAUUAGUAACGAUAUUAACUCUAUAUUGUGUCUCUCUGCUCUGUUCGUACAGAUUCCACAAAUUGAAUCACUCAGUCACCGGCUCACCGCUAUUUUCAAGAAUGGAUGAAAGUUGAAACUCGAAGAGCAUAUUCCGCUGAAUAGCAACAGGUAUUGCUUUUACUUCUACUUAUUGGUACCUCACAAACACAUUCUGGACAUUGCAGAAGUUCGUGAUUUAUGUCAUGUAGAUCUUUUGCGGUGGUUAAAUGCUUGCAUUUAUUCGAUUUGUGCCGAAUUCCGAGGAGUUGUUUACGCUCAAUCGACGAUAGCCGCGGUUUUCUUCGUUUAUACUCAAUCUGAUCUCCUGAGGUGAACUCUACUGUGUCUUCUGGAAUCGGUAUCUAGGUACUUAGAUCGUUCGGUUAACGUCAAAAUCUGUAGAAAUUGCGAACGUUCGAUUGACAACAGGAGCUAGUUUACGUCGCAUUUCCUCGAUUUGAUCUCGUAAGAAGAAUUUCACGUUGAAUCUGAAGAAAUUGCGUACGUUUGAUCGACAAUAGUCCGGUUUACAUCGACCAUACUCGAUCUGAUCUCUUCGGAUCAACCAACUGUAAGGAUUAGAACCACUUAAUGUUACGUGUUUAUCUUAAGGACCAACGACGUCUCGCAAAUGCUGAGAAUGAUUCACGGUUCGUUCACAGCUGACGCUGCUGCUUCGUGUAAAUUGUCAAUAUA